CCCUUAGAUGUCCUGGGCCGCACGCGCGCUACACUGAGUGUCUGAGAUACGAGUCUGCCUGGUCCGGCAAGGUCUAGGUAAUCGCUAAAAGACACAUCAUGCUUGGGAUAGAUUAUUGCAAAUAUUAAUCUUGAACGAGGAAUUCCUAGUAAGCGCAAGUCAACAGCUUGCGUUGAUUACGUCCCUGCCCUUUGUACACACCGCCCGUCGCUACUACUGAUUGGAUGUUUAAGCGAGGUUCUCGAACUGCUAGCGACUUAGCUUCGGUGAGGUCGCAGUGUGGGAAGUGAAUCGAGCUUUGGUGUCUAGAGGAAGUAAAAGUCGUAACA
rnacentral:rRNA from 1 species